GCUAACUUCAGCAAACCAUAAACUAAGAUUGGAAAGAUACAGAGAAGAUUAGCAUGGUCCUGGCGAAAGGGUGACAUGUAGAUUCACGAUGCAUUCCCUAUUUUU